AUAAGCCUGCCUGUUCCAGGAAAUCCUCACCAAAGUAUUGCAGUUACAUCCAGCGGCACUAUGGACCAUUUACCUCACGUAAGUCACUCUAUUCAUCGUUCCCUUUUUUGACUCCUGUGUUUCCUUGUUCUCAGUGUUUUCCGCCGUGUUCCCGAUCCACGUCAUUCCUGCCGCCAAGCCGGCCGCCUGUCCUCACCACUGCCUUCCACCUGUCCACGCUACCGCCUGCCAACCCACCUAGGACUGCCGCCAUUAUCUUUCCUCAAUAAACUGUUCAUCAUUUUACCCUGCCUGCUCUUGGAUACAGCUACUCCCCAUACGUGACAGAAUACUUUGGCCCUUUCCCAAUUACCAAAAUCAUCAAUCCCACUUCCGUCUAGUUGAAGCUUCCACAGUCCUUAAAGAUUCACCCAAACUUCCACGUCUCGUUGCUCAAGCCUGUCUCCACCUGCGCCCUAAGCCCUCUGGCCGAACUCCAUCCGUCCUCCCUGAUUAUUGAUGACCAUCCGGCCUUCACGGUGUCGCGCAUCCUCGAUGUGAGGCCUAGGGGAGGGGGCUCCAGUACCUGGUUGACUGGGAAGGGUAUAGGCUGGAGGAACGAUCUUGGAGCUUAUACUCGAUCAUACCCUUUUGGACGACUUCUACGCGGCUCACCCGGGGAAGCCUGGCAGGACGCCGGGAGGCAUCCGUUGAGAGGGGGGUACUGUCAUAUACUGCCCUGCAAUUCCAUUAUUGGAGCCGGGAGGGCGCUUUACGUCCUCUCUCUCUCUCCCCCCUCCCCUCUGUGUUUUCAGCACCUGUCUCGAGUCAGCCUCAUCACCACUGGUGUAUAUAAGCCUGCCUGUUCCAGGAAAUCCAAAUGUUUUCCCCCGUGUUUCUGAUCCACGUCAUUCCUGCCGCCAAGCCAGCCGCCUGUCGUCACCACUGACACCAUCAUCCCUCAACUACUGAUCUACAAAUUGGACCAGCUGGGGCUCAACACUUCAAUGUGCAACUGGCUGCUGGACUUUCUGACAGGGAGACCGCAGGCAGUACGGGUCGGCAGCAAUACAUCCAGCACCAUCACUCUGAAUACGGGGAUCCCUCAAGGUUGUGUGUUGCGUCCCCUCCUCUUCACCCUGGUGAACUUUGAUUGCACACCGACAUACAACUCCAACCUCUUCAUCAAGUUUGCAGAAGGCACAACUAUGGUGGGUCUCAUCAGCAAUGGGGACGAGACAGAUGAGUGAGAUGAGCAACAGGAGUGAGAUGAGCAACCUGGCCGGGUGGUACACGGAAGACAAUCUCUUCCGAAAUGUGGAAACAAGGAACAAGGAGAUUGUUGUGGACUUCAGGAGAGCGCACUCACAGCAUUCUCCUCUGAACAUCAAUGGUGCUGUGGUGGCGAGUUCCUGGGAGUGCACAUCACCGAGAAUCUCUCCUGGACCAGAACCACCUCAUCACUGGCCAAGAAAGCUCACCAGCGUCUAUACUUCCCGUGCAAGCUGAGAAGAGCCAGAGCCCUGACCCCCAUCAUGUUCUACAUCGGGACCAUCGAGAGCAUCCUGACCAACUGCAUCACUGCGUGAUACGGAGCCUACACCGCAUUCUACCGCAAGACUCUCCAUUGCAUCGUGAGGGCAGCUGAGAAGAUUAUCGGAACCUCUCUUCCCUCCCUGCAGGACAUCUACAGCACCCGCCUCACCCGCAAAGCCCUCCGCAUAGCGGAGGAUGCCACCCAUCCAUCACACAGCCUCUUCAGUCUGCUGCCGUCAGGGAGGAGACUGCGGAGUCUGCAAGCCAAGACUACCCAACUCAAUGACAGUUUUAUUCAUCAGGCUGUAAGGAAUCUGAACUCUCUGCCCGCUCUGCCCCCUCUACCUCUUCUGUCCUCUACCCACCUGAACUCUGAACUCUGACGCUCCACAUACGUGCACAUACACACACUUCAAUACACACUCACACAUAUAUACACACACAUUUGUAUACACACACACACCAAUACACACACACACACAUCAAUACACCAGACUCAGGGUCACACCAGCCACUUUAGCAGAUUUGGGAUUUUCUCAUCUAAUUUGUCUUAUUUGACUUGGUUCUCUGACCUUGACUAUGUUGCACACGUCACCUGAUCUUUGUUAUUGCACAUUCAACUAAUACUUUUUACACUGUAUAUACCAUAGCUUUAUUUAGCUUUUUAUAUUGACAUUAUUUGUAGCACCGCGGGCCUUUGAGUACCGUAAUUUCAGUCCUCUGUAUGUGUUAUGCAUAUUGAAGAAUUGCCAAUAAAAGCACCUUGACCUUGACCUUCUAAACAACUUUCAGUAUAAUGCUUGGUUUUACACCACUGCAAAGUACAACCUCGAUUAAACCGAUUUUUAUCUUUGUCAAGACAAAAAUAUUGGCUCAUGUUAUGGAUCUUAGAAUUAUGUCCACAUGAUACAGGUAACCAAAUGUUGUCGCCAGUGAUGUCAUGUUUAGUGUACCUCAUCUAACCAUAGUGCAUUGUCCACUCUCUGGAAUAAAAUAUACUGUACAUCUGGUAUGGACUAUAUUGAAACCAACUAUGUUCUGUUGUGAAAUAAAUGAUGCCUUGAUUA